AUUGAACGCUGGCGGCAUGCUUUACACAUGCAAGUCGAACGGUAACAGGGAGCUUGCUCCGCUGACGAGUGGCGAACGGGUGAGUAAUGCAUCGGAACGUACCGUGUAAUGGGGGAUAACGUAGCAAAAGUUACGCUAAUACCGCAUACGCCCUGAGGGGGAAAGUGGGGGACCGCAAGGCCUCACGUUAUACGAGCGGCCGAUGUCGGAUUAGCUAGUUGGUGGGGUAAAGGCCUACCAAGGCGACGAUCCGUAGCGGGUCUGAGAGGAUGAUCCGCCACACUGGGACUGAGACACGGCCCAGACUCCUACGGGAGGCAGCAGUGGGGAAUUUUGGACAAUGGGGGCAACCCUGAUCCAGCCAUGCCGCGUGAGUGAAGAAGGCCUUCGGGUUGUAAAGCUCUUUCAGGUGGAAAGAAAUCUCCCGGGUGAAUACCCUGGGAGGAUGACGGUACCAUCAGAAGAAGCACCGGCUAACUACGUG
rnacentral:rRNA from 1 species